UUUCUUCUCUAAGUGAAACAAACCCAACUCCUUAACCUUGCUUUGACUCAAAAUUAUAGACAUCUUCUACCUCUAGAUGAGAACAGAGCAACCCAAAUUUCAGCCUAUUCAACUGCCUUCGAACACAUAUGAUUUUUUGAAAGAGGCCAGUCCAUGAUAUUCAAUUGUGUGCUUGUCUCCAUUUGUUUAACAAUUUUUAAACACGUCCAGUGAUCACAAAGAGGUUUCCUGGCUUUUCCAACUUUAAGUUCUGGCAGGACGUUCAGUGGAAGGAAAGAUAACAAAUGUGGGAGCAAAAGAAACUUUCUGAAAUGAAGGCUUCACUGACUUGAAUUUAAACAAUGGAAGAAUGGAAGGAAACAGCCUCUAAAGACCAUAGAAGUUGUCAACAGUGCCUGAAGAGUCUUUCUUUGAAAAGAAGUUGGUUCAGUUUUUCACUCCAUGCUCUGACAACCCGCUUCAGAUCAUAAAUGCCCUUUUCAGUUUAUAGACAAAAUGUUCCUUCCCUGGAACAUGACAUCCUGGAGGCUGUUCCAUGUAAAUUUCUAC
rnacentral:lncRNA from 11 species